AAGUCACAUGGGAAAAAAUUCUGAUCUUAUUCUAGACGAAGAAUGAAAAGCCAGGAAGCUACAUAACCCAAGAAACAAGAAGAAAUGGAAAAUAACUGCAGCACGUUUAUGACAUUCGUUUCUUUCUCCACAUGAAACAUACAAUGAGAACACUUUAUAGAUGAAUUGUGUCUUCGAUUGAAUAGAGAAUGGUGGACUAGCUUUGGUUUUAUGGAAUUGGAUAAUUUGUCAUAGUUUCUGUCCCUGGAAAAAUGAGAACCCAAAGGAAAACAAGUGGAAAGCCUUUAAAAAAUAGUGAUAUAAUACACAGCUGAUAUUUUUGGUUCAUAGAAUACUUUAAAGUACAUCAUUUACAAAGCAAAUUACUAAAUUAUAAGAAAUGCUGUCAUCAUCAAUAAACAUUCACAGAGCUUCAGGUUUUAACACAAAGCAUUCCUCAUAUUUCAGGUGAUAUUAUUUAUGAAAAAAUUACUUGGAGAUUGCUCCAAGGUUAUCACAUUCUUUUCAAACCAUCAAUUCCCUAUUAUUAUUUACUAUUAUUAGUUAUUAUUUAUAAAUACAUAUGAAUACACAAUGAAAGCAUGCUUUAUGUAUAGCAUAUAAAUAUAUUUGAACUUUACUUUCCCCACAUACUAUCUAUCCUGCAAUAUUACACCACCAGUAAAAGAGUAUCUAAAUAUUAAUUGCUCCUAUCACAAUAGUGGAAACUAGAAGAGAUAAGUUUUCCCAAAUCUGAGUAGAAAACCAUGGUUAGCGGAUAUCCAUUUGUCCAUUUACGGAAUUAUAGCAAUAAAAUCCAGCCAAUAAUUUUUAGUUUGCUUAUUAUGUAGUGGCAAAACAUAAUGUCUUUUUCUCACCCAUUACAAGGGUCACAGCUGACAUACCUAUAACAAAAACCAGAUGAACAAGAAAAAUGCAUAAUGUGUUCAUUUAAUAAAGUUUUAAGUGACGUGGGAGCCUUCAGAAAUGCAGACCCAAACCCAGGGAAAAUUUUGAAUUUGUAUGCUUCUGAAGAAAGAAGUGAAUAGUUGUGGAGAAACGUGAUUCGACAAAAAGAGUAUGACCUAAUGAUAAUAAACUGUAGAGAAUUUAGCAAAGCCUGUCUCUUCAGAUUCUUCUCGACCUUGCUGUGUAGCAUACCUUCCCCCCAUAUAAGGAAGAACAACUGCCAGAAAAGGGUCUUCUGAUCUAUUUUCUGGUAAAAUAGGUCAGAGUGACCCUUUUAGGUUUUACGGCUUGCUGUGAGGUCAAAGAAUUCUAAUUUCUAUGGGCCGCCUUGGGAGAGAGGAGAGCUGGAGAAAGGAGAGUGAGAGAAGGUCAGAGGGGCCUUCCUUCUGAGGCCCUUCCAGUGCCCUUCAGUUCAAAGUACUCUGCAUGCCAAGACACCAUAUAUUGGGGUAUAAUGUUUUGAGUCCUAGCAGUUAAUAAUAUAAUAUUUUUCAAAAAAUCUAGAGAAGAAUUUAUUUCAUAAUGUUACUAACCAGUUUUUUAAAGUCAAAUUUGAAAAUGAUGCCAAAAAUUAUACUGAUUUUUUUUCUUCAGAUAAUUGUGAAAUUCUACUGUGUCUUCUCUUUAAAGAUGAAAAAAUAAGAUAAAAAACAUGAGCUGGGCAUGAUGGUGUGCCUGUAAUCCCAGCUACUUGGG
ensembl:lncRNA GRM7-AS3 GRM7 antisense RNA 3